UUAAUUCCAAAAGAAUGGAAUAUUUAUUAUAGCUCCCUAAUAUUGGGAGGAUAUGUUAUAAAGAGAAGUCAUCCUUCCCUCGAUUUAAAUGGAUCGAAGAUCCAUAUGAAUUAUUUAGUUGAGAUGCAAAAGAUUAUGACAUGAUGACAUGAUGCAAUGCACAUGAUGACGUGACAUGAUGCAACACGCAAGCACAUGACAACGCAACAACAUCGAAUGACUGCACGACACCUGGCACAUCGGUCUCGGGGCGUUACAACACUCCACCACUACGAGAGGAUCUCGUCCCGAGAUCUAGAAUGGCACCGGGGGAAAACGGAAGAGAAAAGAGGAGAGGUAAAACUAAGUUGCUCCUUGACAAAUGAGUGAAACCACGAACCUUGAAAAGGUUGAGCCAAUUCGAGAAAAAAAUAGAACGAAGGAGAACAAAGUCGAAAACACUCCGUUAGAAAAGAGGGACAACGAGCAUUGUGAAACCCUUGAGGUUAAAGGAAAAAUAUUUAUUGAAACCACUCCGGUUAAGACAAGACAGAGAAGGAAUAAGACUUAUAUAAUUUGGAUAGCACUCCGGUUGAGAAGGGAUGCAAAAAUUGAUAAGAUGAGAAAGAACUUGAGCAGAAUGGCACCACACUCCGGUUAAAUGGAUAGGCAUGAAAAGGAACAUGAUCUUUGACAAACGAGAUGAUGGUUGAAGAAAGCAACCUCACAAUGCCUCCGGAACGAAGGGAAAACAAUAUCUUGAGAGAGCACGGUUACAACAAAUGCUAGAACGGAGUUGUUGGAGAAAACCAACAAUGGAAGAAUAAGCUUGUAGUGGGCUUAUAGAAAAACAUCUCGAAACUAGAGGUGAUAACCUGCCACUCACGGGAAAAGAAUUGUAUUGAUAUGAACAAGUAGACGAGAAACUAUAUCACCGGCAGGAUAUAUGAAGAACUUGGAUCAUAUAUGAGCACAAUUAUCACAACAAUCCUUAGGGAAGGAUUUAGGUGAAGUAUACCCCAAGAUAAAUCCAAGACGAGAUUGAUGGAUUUAAAAUAUCUCAUUCUUGACAACAUGUGAAUCAUGAUAAAUGAACUCAAAUUAUCAAGAAUGACACAAUACCACCUCCAAUGAUACGGAAGAAAGAAUAAUUGCACUCCGGAUUACGAUAUGAAGAAUGCUUGAGCACCUCUGAAAAGAAACUUGAUGAACACUUCGAGAAGGGAUUAAAUCCUUGGUGAACCAUCAUGUAGAGCCUCCAUGAAGAACUCCGGUAAUAAAAGAAUGGUCCAAAAUAAUUGAAUGAUGAAAAGAAUAAGAUUGAAGCCUCGCAAUGAUUUAGAUAGAGAUCUCCGUGAUAAUAUAAUUGAAAGAGGUUGGACUCCGGGAAAAGAGAAGAUGAAACAAAUGAAACCGAGAGUUUGAAGGGCCUCCGGAAUAAAGAAUUAAUCAUUUGGAUGAAACAAGAAUAAGAAUUACAUUAUGCUUAUCCUUCACCAAUUUAAUUGAUGAGAAACAAUGGAUUUGGCAUAUUACUUAUUCUCGUAGAAAAGAUUAAGAGAGAUAUCACAUAAACUUGAGGAAGUCUUGAACGACCCACCGGUAGAAUAGAAACAACGAAUGAAUUGAUAUGAUAACGAAAGAAGAGGAAUCUUGCACGAACCACCAUAAGAAUUGAAAAUGAACGGAGUAAGAUAAAGAAACACCGGGAAGAAUUAGCAAAUGAACGAAGAUGCUUGAGUGAAUUUAGAUCCAUGAGAACGAAAAGCCCAUGAGCCGAUUAAAAAUCACUUGAACGAAGCCCCGGUAAAAUUGGAGAAUGAUAACUGAAAGUUGAGAAUGAAAAAUCCUGAAAUAAUGGCCUUCAGAGAAUCAAACUGAAAAGACUCCUGAAUUGCUCCGGAUGGUUGAAAAGAAUAACUCACAAUCGAAAAUAAUUAUGAGAGGAUGGCAACAAGCUAGCACCAUGAAUCUUGAAGAGAAUGUAGCAAGAAUAAAGAGAAACUCUUCUUCGGUCUUCAAAAUCCAAGAAUAACGACGAGAAACACCACCAAGAAUUAUUUAGACACUCCGGAAGAAUCAAAACGAAGAGGUUGAGUCAACGAAGAAAAGAAUUUAACCGAUCUUGGAGAAAGACAUUUGACUGAUGGUAAAUCAUUCUUACGUCAAACUUUGAAAAGAAUUUGAUUAUAACUCCGGGAAAAAAGAAGAAGAGUCAGGUAAGAUCCUGGGAAAAGACCUGUGGGUUAGGGCCCACUCAAAAGAAACACCGUUAGAAUGAUUACUUGAGAAAGGAGAUUGCACCGGUUGAAUUAAAUGGCUUGAAUAAGAUAACAACCUCAAAAUAUAUUGAAUGAAUGCAGAGUGAAAAACACGAAUCUUCGAGAUAUCUUGAGCACUCCAGAACAAAUGGAUAGCGAGAAGUGAACUAUUAUGAAGUGCACCGGUAUGAGAAAAAAACGUUGAAAUACGGAAAAGAGUAUGAUCAACACCGAAAGGUUGAAUUGGUUCCUCCGGAGAAGAAAAUAAUGAAUAAUGGUGAACUAGAAACUCCGUUAGAAUUUUCAUGAGAAUCACUGGAUAAGGAUAUUGACGGAAAAGAAUGGAGAGACUUCUCAAGAAUAAGAUUAUACUGGAUUAAGAAAUCUGAAUCCUUGGAGAAAAACAAAGGGAGGGAGGGUGGGAAAAACAAAGACAAUUUGGAGAUGGAAGAAAUGAACACCGUUGAGAAGAACUGAUACUCGAUCUUGCAAAUGUUGGAAUGAUCGGAUCCACUAGAAGAGAAAGACGCCGGUUUACAAGAAAUUGAAAUGACAAACUCGAUUAUCAUGAGGGAUUGGUAUUCACAUCAAAAUAUGAGAACACCGCUUAGGAAAGAUAUGGAAUCAACUCUUGACAUUGAAGCAACUCGAAUACCACAACUCAAAAUAAAAACAAAGGGUUGGCUUGCAGAAUAAGCCGGAACAAACAUAUGAUAGAGAUUACGUCCGAAGUUUUCAUGGUGGGACCUACACGGGCUCGAUCGUACCGCACCAUCAUGUACAAGGCAGUGCACAUGACAUACGAAGCGUCCCCGAGUCAGCAUACACAAGGACUCUUUAAGACACAACGAGGCCACUGUAAAAUCGACCGUGAAUAGGCGAACCACUAGACGUCGAACCCCAAUUUCAUAUCAUACAUCCGUUGGAAAGAUAUCCUAAGAGCUACUUGAAUUCCCACCUAUGAAACUCCCGAAACUUUCCGGUUAUGCUAUCAGGUGUUGAGGAUACAAGGGAAGCAUAAUAUCUCACCCAAGCUAGCAAAUCCUACAUCCAGCUGCAUCCAUCCUUCAACACAUAACCAAGAAACCUUCGGAAACCAUCUAUCUCAACCUUCGAAAAGCAUCCGUUAUACGAGUUAUGGAGAUACUCCCGAACUCCCGCCCCAGUACUGGGUGGCGUCGAGGUUAUCUCACCAACGAACUGCAUAAAAGAGAUUUUCGAUGUCGCGAACAUAUCUCAAGUAUACCAGAAUUGCAACGAUAGAAUUAUGAUGACAACACCUCAGAGCUCAACUCCCCGGGACACUUCCACUAAACCCCUGACAGGAGGCACCAAGACAGUAUUCUCAUCAUAAGCCAUCGGAACAAAACUAAGAUACUCGCGUGAUCCUAAAAAAAAUUUAGUGAAAUUUGAGAAGAGAAGAGUCAAAACUCUACGUCAGGAUGCCUUACCAGAGCGAUGAGGAGACUGGGAAGUAAAAAGAAUUCCUAAGCUCUCCGAUAUAUAAUUCCUAAGGACUCAAAACAUUUUUCUAGACACAACUCGGCUGCUAAAAACGAUCAAGCAAUGGGGGCUCCUAAGGUCGGGGAAGGCUCUGAUUACCAACUUUUAACACCCUCGAUGCGACUAUGUCUCCCACGUGUCGAGGCACGACUUAGAGGCAUAAUCGCAUUGAAGGCAUAUGUCGCAAGUGAGGUAAUCUUCACACAACCCAUGUAAUAUAAUAAGGGAAAAAGGAUACAUAGUUGGCUUACAAUCGCCACUUCACACAAUUACAUGAAUAAACAUUACAUCAAUCAAAUGCACUCAUGGUCCGACUAUGGAACCAAAAUAAAAGAAGAACCCCAAAUGCGACAAAGGUCCCCGAUCGACCCCAACUGGGCUCCACUACUGAUCACCUAGAACGAAACAACACAAAUGAACAAGGUCUCCAACGAGCUCCUCCUGAGCUGGGUUGCGUCAUCUGCACGAACUCAUCGGCACCUGCAAGCUGGUUUUUGGAAGUAUCUGUGAGCCACAGGGACUCAGCAAUCUCGCACCCUCGCGAUCAAGACUAUUUAAGCUUAUGGGUAAGGUAAAGGUAUGAGGUGGAGCUGCAGCAAGCGACUAGCAUAUAUGGUGGCUAACAUACGCAAAUGAGAGCGAGAAGAGAAGGCAAAGCACGGUCGAUAAAAAUAUGAUCAAGAAGUGAUCCUGGACUACCUACGUCAAGCAUAACUCCAACAACCGUGUUCACUUCCCGGACUCCGCCGGAAAGAGACCAUCACGGUUACACACGCAGUUGAUUCAUUUUAAUUAAGGUCAACUUUAGGUUUUCUACAACCGGACGUUAACAAAUUCCCAUCUGCCCAUAACCGCGGGCACGGCUUUCGAAAGAUCCAAUCCCUGCAGGGGUGUCCCAACUUAGCCCAUCACAAGCUCUCACGGUCAACGAAGGAAUAGACCUCCACCCGAGACAUUCCAAUCAGACUCGGUAUCCCAGUACAACAAGACAUUUUGACAGGGUAAAACUAAACCAGCAACACCGCCCGAAUGUGCCGACAAAUCCCGAUAGGAGCUGCACAUAUCUCUUUCUCAGGGCACACUCAGAUGAGACUAGCUACGAGUAAAACCAACCCUCAAGUUUCCCCGAGGUGGCCCCGCAGGCAGCUCAGUUCGGACCAACACUCAGAGGAGCACUGGCCCGGGGGGGGGGGGUAAAAUAACGAUGACCCUUGAGCCGGCCGACUCAAGGGAAAGAAAAGGCUAGGUGGCAAAUGGUAAAACCAAUGUUGGGCAUUGCUGGAGAAGCUUUACUUAAGGCGAACUGUCAAGGGGUUCCCAUUAUAGCCCAACCGCGUAAGGGACGCAAAAUCCGGGAACAUAACACCGAUAUGACGGAAACUAGGGCGGCAAGAGUGGAACAAAACACCAGGCAUAAGGCCGAGCCUUCCACCCUUUACCAAGUAUAUAGAUGCAUUAAUUAAAUACGAUAUAUAGUGAUAUCCCCAACAAGUAAAUAAAUGUUCCAACAAGGAACAACAUCUCCAUGUCCCAACACGAAACAAACUUCAAUCUUCACCUGCAACUAACAACGCUAUAAGAGGGGCUGAGCAAAGCGGUAACAUAGCCAAUCAACGGUUUGCUAGGACAUUGGUGGGUUAGCGGCUGAACAUGGCAAUUUGGGAGGCUGACAAGCAAGUGGUAGGCAUCGUAGCAAUGGCAUAGCAAAAGAGCGAGCAAACUAGCAUAGCAAAGAUAGUAGUGAUUUCGAGGGUAUGAUCAUCUUGCCUGAAAUCCCGCAAGGAAGAAGAACGAAACCAUGAAGAAGACAACCGGACGUAGGCGAACGGGUCCUCACAAACUCGACGUUAUCGGAACCAACCCGAAGAAGCAAUCACCGGAAAAGAGCAAACAACAUAGUGAACAACCAACACAUCAACAUGGCAUGAUGCACAACCAAGUAUGAUGCAUGUCCGGUUUAAUGAAGCAUGGCCUGGCAAAGUGCACAAACAAUCCUACACAUUAAGUGGAGCACAAUAUGCAACGAGUUGCAUAUUGACGGAACACCACGUGAUUUAUUUAGUUCGACCUCGUUUAUGUACCCAACAAUAUUAAAUGUUGAUUAACAUGGCAAGAGGGUGAAGCAAAUGAAAACUAUCUAAUCUAGGCAAGUUUAAAUGAGGCCGGAAGCAACGAACAACAAUUCCGGAAAAUCCUCAUGUGCAAAUAUUAGGUUUGGUCCUGAUCUGUCCUAAACACAAUUUUAGAGUUGUUUAACAUGCAAAGUGAUGCCACCAUGAUAAACUAGGCAAAAUUCUACCCCAUUUACAUAUAAAGUUUAUUAAAAACGGAGUUACGGUUGAAUAGUUAUGAAUUAAAUCAUUUUAGCAUGGCAUGGGAGCAAAUUUAACCAAACAUCAAUUUAAUCAAUUUUAAUUGUUGUUAUCAUGAUGCGGAUGACAUGAACAAGUUAUGCAAUAUUUAUUAAGAGUUGACAUGAGCAUUAUGAAGCAUUGUCACCGUGGUGGAAGGGAAAAGGGGUGCCACGGCAACGAAUCCGAAAAUGAUGCCACGGCAACAUAUCGGUUCCGGUAACUUGCGGAGAUACCGGCGCAAAAGGAAAAGUGACGGGAGCGUGACAUGCGAUAGGAGGUGGGGUGAUCCUGGAUACCGGGUUCCCACAAGAUGGUGGCAAGGCAAAAGAGGGGCGACGUGCACCGAACAACUGCGACACGGAGCAAACACGAGCAUUUCAUACAUCACACAUGCAUUCGUUCACGGGCAUCGUUCCGGCGGUUAUACCUUUGAAGCGAGCAUCAUCGAAACGGAUCGAGUUCGGCGGUAGAGGUACACGUGUCGACGAGGAAGUAGUUGUACACGGGGUCGUCGUGGGAAGUAGGGGAAGUAGUCGUUCUCGUGAUGGUAGUCGUUCACGUUCACGUUUCACGGGUCUUCGGCGACGGUCGUCGUACGUGGUCCACAAGACGUCGAUCGUUCGGGGUUCGAUUUGCGGAUCUUGCCGACAUGAAGGGGUACUUGGCGUUCUCCGCGAUUCCGAAGACGGGGUAGAGGUACACUUGUUGUAGGGGUACUUGUCGGAUCCACGGGUGUAGUCGUUCACGUUCGGAGGGGAACUUGGCGUCGAGGGGGCUUGGUGCAUCCCAGAUCUUCGGGCUCACGGUACUUGGCGCUUGAGGUUCCAAAUCCAGUUUCGAACGCGUCCACGCAAAACAUCAUAAGUGCAAAGAGGCCACGACUUGGCGCUGUUCCGGUCAUCACGCGAGGACGCUCCUGACGCUCGCGGACGGCGUGGACUUGAAGCGAGGAGGAGGCCACGGCAGGAGGUCGGUAGGUGAGCGUGGGCGACGGCGAGGCGCUCCGGGCGGCGACGGGAGGCCGACGCGAGGAUGACGGCUGCAGGCGCGGGCGCGGGUGCUCCUGGGGGGCGCAGAGGACGACGACGACAGGCCAUGGCAGGGGCGGAGGCGCGGUUCCCUGGACCGGCAGGGCCGCGGCGGCGCUGUGGUGCCCGGCGGCCUCGGCGACGCGGCGAGGGAGGAGAUCCGGCGGGGAAGCGAGGGAGCAGCAGCAGAGCAGCUCGGGCGCGGAGGUUGCAGGGCGGCGGAGUCCCGAGCUCGGCUAGGCGCGGCCAUGGAGGACGUCGGCGCCGAGGCGGGGCGAUGACAGAGGAAAUGGGGUCGUCGUGGAGAGUAUAGGACGAGGCAGGAGGCGGCUUGGAAGCUCGGGCAUGGGCGGAACCGGCGCGAGGAAGAGGAGCCUGGCAUGGCUCCUACUGGAGGUGGCCUUCCUGGAGGAGCUCGGCGGCGGUGGUCGCAGGCCGGCGCGGCGGAGGAAGGAGGCGAGGGGAUUGGGGUGAGGGGUGCAGCACGAGGAAGAAGAGAGCGAGUUCGAGAGGAGGGAGAUGGGAUCGGGGAGAGAUGGGAUCGACCCCUGGUGCGAUGCGUGCGUGAGGCGAGAGGGAGAGGGAGAUGGGUUCGAUCGACUCCCUGGCGGCGCGAGGGAAAGAGCGAGGGAGGAGGGGAUCGGGCCAGGGGUGCGCCUUAGGGUUUGGAGGAGGAAGGGAGAUGGGCCUUGGCCCAUGGUAGGUAGGCCUGGCUGCGGCUGGGCCUAGGAGGUCGCCCAGCGUGGGGAGAAGAGGCCAGAGGCCUGCUGGGCUGCUCUCUCCUCCCCUCUUCUCUUAUUUCUCUUAUUUUGCAGAAAACGAUUAAAGAGAAAGAAAAGAAAGAGGGGGUUAGGGGAAGAAGGUGGGCACGCGAAUAAUUUUCCCGGACUCGCAAAAAUGCACUUGUUCCGAGAAAAAUGAAGUGGGCAAGAUUGCAAGAAUUAAAUUCAAAGUCAUUUGAAUUUAAUUAAAAAGGUUGCACAAGGACUCGGAUUUAGAAGAGUCCAAAAAAUGUUGAGAAUUUAGGAGGAGCCUCGAUAAAUGGGAAAAUAAAUGUUGGCCAAGUUUGGGGACCAAACUUGAAGUAGAAAGGGAGUGGGGAUUUGCAAGUGUGUUCCGGUUAAUUCCAAAAGAAUGGAAUAUUUAUUAUAGCUCCCUAAUAUUGGGAGGAUAUGUUAUAAAGAGAAGUCAUCCUUCCCUCGAUUUAAAUGGAUCGAAGAUCCAUAUGAAUUAUUUAGUUGAGAUGCAAAAGAUUAUGACAUGAUGACAUGAUGCAAUGCACAUGAUGACGUGACAUGAUGCAACACGCAAGCACAUGACAACGCAACAACAUCGAAUGACUGCACGACACCUGGCACAUCGGUCUCGGGGCGUUACAA
rnacentral:lncRNA from 1 species